GACGAACGCUGGCGGCGUGCUUAACACAUGCAAGUCGAACGAAGUGGCGAACGGGUGAGUAACGCGUAAUCAACCUGCCCUUCAGAGGGGGACAACAGUUGGAAACGACUGCUAAUACCGCAUACUGAAGGAGGGGAUUGCGUCUGAUUAGCUAGUUGGGGGGGUAACGGCCAACCUAGGCGACGAUACAUAGCCGACCUGAGUGGAGUAACGGCCACAUUGGGACUGAGACACGGCCCAGCCUCCUACGGGAGGCAGCAGUGGGGAAUCUGCCGAAAUGGACGAAAGUCUGACGGAGCAACGCCGCGUGAGUGAUGACGGCCUUCGGGUUGUAAAGCUCUGUUAAUCGGGACGCGGUACCGGAAUAGAAAGCCACGGCUAACUACGUGCCAGCAGCCGCGGUAAUUC
rnacentral:rRNA from 1 species